AUUACAGAUAAAAAUGUAUACUUGGACACGAAUACGUCUGGGCGGAAACUUUUAAUAACUAUCGAUCUAUCUAUCAAUGUCAAUCUUUCCGCGGAACUGAGUGUACGAGGUGUAUACAUGAAGUAUAUGUGGGGUAAUCUAGUGGAAAUAUUUUAACGGGCGCCGAUUUGUCUCAGAUUCUGCAAAACUGUUUUGAUUUAUCCCGGUUCAAAGGAUUUUUCAAAUGCUUCCGACAAAGAAAGAUCUUCCCAAGAAAAUCAACUUUGACAAAUACAGUACAGCUUUGCUUCUUCUUUAUUUUAACAUACAUGAGUAAUUGCGCGCCUGUCGUUGAUCUGUUUACGUUGAAAAACCGCAAUUAACAUAACAAUCAACAUCAUUUUUAGCUGUCACUUGCACAAGGAGUAAUAAAAUAUCUAAUGCGAGACACAUCUAGCAGAACUUGCCCGACUACACAGUAGAUCUGGCAAAGUUUACCAUCAUACAACAGUUACAAUUGCUGGAGGAGAAUGAAAAGUAGGGAGGAGGAGGAGGAAGAGGAGGUGAUGGUGAUAGAGUUGGAGUUCCGAGGGAUUCGGUUCCAGAGGAUGCAGGUGUUGUUUCAGAGGAUCCAGUUCGAGCUGGACACGGUCAGGUCAAAAGAUCUGACUGUAUCCACCAUCACGCGCAAGUUUCGAGGGACGUACUAUCUGGUGAUAUAGAGACGCAGAAAUGCAGCACCGGAGGAGCCAGUUCGUGCACAUCAGGAAGGGCUCGAAGAUCGUGUAUCCGAAGUAGCCGGUCCUGACUCCAGGUAUUUAGGUAACAAAAGAGUACUGAAAUCAGUACAAUUAUUUAUGGUGGUGGAUUCGUAUACUGUAUAUGUAGAGAAAA